rnacentral:lncRNA from 1 species
UUCUGAAAACUAAAGAGUUCAUAUAUUGGUAGAUAGACUAUGAUUUAGGAUAUGCUAAACAGAAAGCUUUAUAAGAUGGAACUCUCAAUAUCAUGACUUCACUUUGUCCUUUAAUUUAAUAUGGUUAGAACUACCAUGGUUUUUUAAGUAGUUGGGGCAUUAAGAAACAGUAUGCUGGAUGUUUGGCCUUGCAUCCGUCCUUCCAUGAAUUCAUGCUUGUGCAUUGCUAGUUAUUGCUUUUUUUGCAAGUCUUCUUCUUCCUCGAUCUGGUGCAAAAGCAAAAAUUCAAGGUCAUGGUCAUGGAGCAGCAGCCAUAUAUUUUUCUUCUUAUUCUUCCCUGAGAUGACAUGAGAUGAGGUUUGUUUUCCUCAAGCUCAAGGUGCAGCAGCUCGAUUUGAUUUGAUGUGAUUGGAAUCAGUUUCCUCAUGCCUCUCUGUUUGCAUUGCAGGCUCUGUUGGUCGGUCUUCAAUUCUUCAUGCUGCUGCUACUGCUACAUGAGGACCCUCUUCAAUUCUGCAUCCGUUGCGGCCGCCGCAGCUUCCACCUCUACCCAGCCGCAUCCGCAAGUGUAAGCUCCCCCCUCCCUCCAUCCUAGAUCUCUAGGCCUGUUGCUGUCAUGCGCCAUGUUCUAGAUGUUGCGCGACCUCAUGUGGAUGCCACGAACGGUGCUGCUCCUGCGUGCAGAUUUGAUUCGCCACAUUAGUAUGUGGUUGUUGUCUCGCCGUGGUUGUUCAAACUGAGAUGUACCCAGUUGAUUCGUCAUCUCGGGUCAUAAAUUUUUCUGCAUUCCCUGUUGCUGUAGCUUGUUGGAUGCAUAGUUUGAUCUCCCAAUGGGAAUUAUUAGUGAAUGGUGAUGUCUGUGGUCACGAGAAUGGUGAUGUAGUAGCUAGUAUGCUUGAUGCGUGUAUGUCCAUCUCUUUACUGUUUUGCUAGAACCAUAAAUCCUGAUGCGCAUGAUGAUCAUGGUCUGGUUUGCUAGAUCUAUUCUGCUGGUGCUUAAAAUUUAACAUGCCUGGAUUCUAAAACAAAUUUUACAGCAUUCUAUGUUGUAGCCAAACACUUGCUCUGUAUUUUAUAUUAAAACCAUGGUAUUGUGUACCUGCCAACUACGAGUAAAUUACUGCAGUUUUUAAUACUUUGGUUUUUUUGAUACUUUGCUGUUUGAUUUACUUUUAUUUUGUCCCUAAACAUUUUGUUCUACAAUGUGCAGAUGCUGGCAUUUCAUUCAGGACAAAGAAGUUGGAUGAAGCAUAGUUUUACCUCAUUGAGCUAGUUCUGGGAGUAACAAACUCCUUGUAGCAGAACUUGUACGUGUGCUAGUUCUGGGAGCUGAUCCUAUUUGUGUGUUAUAUGAUGUAGCAGAACUUGUAGGGCUCCUGUGAUAGACUUGGGCUGAUACACUUGGACUGUAUGUGUGUUAUCUAAUUGUAAACUUGAUG